UUAUAUUUCUAUGGCAUCAAAGUCAAAAGGCAAUGAAGCUAUACACGCCUACCUAGCUUCCACAAAACAAACAUUUUAUACUCUUACAACUCCCUUUAUAAUUCAAAUGAUUAUCAAGCUUUGUUUUUAGUUUCAUUCUCCUUCAAUUCAAUUUGUGUAAGUCCUCUUUUAUUAGUCUUUCUAUUCCAUUUUUAUGUGAGUCAUGAAAAAUCCAAUUCAAUGAACCUAUUUUCGUUUUUCCAAAAGCUCUCAUCGUAAAAUCUCGAUUUAUUCUUCGUUCACCGUGGUAUCGUAUUUAGUUUUGGACAAUAGCUUCUCGGCACAUAGUACUUCAUUUUCAACCGUCGGAUCGUCGAUAUGAACUUUGGAGUGAGAUAUUUCUCGUGUACAUUGUAGCUGCGUAUUUAGGCUUAGAGUAUUGUGCUUGGAAGGAAAUCGGCCAAGGAAAUCACAGUUGCAUACGCUGUUGAUGAAAACUGUCAGCUAGCUGAUGCAGUUUAUCUUAAGGAUGCAAUAGACGAUCUCCCUCCCGUUAAUAAUGAUGAGAGCCAAGAUGAAGGCAGCUAUAGGACAACUCCUCGUACAGAGUUCCAAAAAUAUAUCAG